UCAUCAUGUACGAAUAUAGAUGUUGAAGA
rnacentral:sRNA from 1 species